rnacentral:lncRNA from 1 species
UUGCUAGUUUCUGCAAGAUUUUGAUGCUGACCUUCAACCUUAAGUCUCAAAGCCUCAUAAUUGACCUCUUCCAUUAAGUUUUCAGCAGAGUCGACAGCAUUUCGAAACUCAUUAAGCCACUGGCUCACAAAUUGAUUUGAUGCCUGCUUACUCUCUGCAUCACUUAGCACAGCUUGAAGACCAAGCAAAGUCAUUCUCAGCUUCUUUAAGAGACGAACAUCAUUCUUAUGCUUCUGAAACAUCUUGAGCAGCUCACCCUGAGGUGCAAGCCUAUCAAAGAGAACAUUCAAAGCUGAAGAGAUAAAUGCACCACCAACUGCUAAGCCAGACUCCAUUUCUGAAAUCUGCAAAGCAAAACACAAAAUGAUUUUAAGAAAUUUGAGAAGAUGAAUGUUUGUAUCUUCAAUUACUAACAACUUUACUUUACCUGUUGAAUGCUAAAAGUAAUUUGCAAACAAGAAUGAUCACUGAUUUCUCUCUCUCUCUCUUUUGCUAGUAAAUUUACAAACAAGAAGCUGUAAUUGGUACAACUAUGUUUGCUAGUGACUAUUCAUUGCUUUCUCAAUUGAGGGUAGUUGGGGGUUGUAGAAAAUGGGGACCAUUUAGAGACCAAAGUCUUUGUAUCAUUUAAACAUCAAUACAAGGUUCAGUACGUUGUGCUAUUUUGACAUUUUUGGCUAAUUCAGCCAAAUACGUAAAAGUGUGCAACACACUCGCGGAUAACAUCUCAAUAUUUGAAUUGCACAAAAUUACUUCCAUAUUUGAAUUGCACAAAAUUACUUUCCUGGGGUGUUUGACAAUUAAUGAGUCUUGUUUUAAGGCUUGUUUCUGAGAUUAUGCUUUCUUCAGGGACUAUAUAUUUCAUAAUUUGCUCAUAAAUAUCUUCAGGUUGUCCUUGUACAGCAACUCUAGUGAUUGAUCUCCGACUACUACGAUCGUUGGGAGCUGGAUACCUUCUUGCAUUAUGUUAAGGUGGCGGAGCUUGUCUAUACAGUCAAGAAGUGGACGAAUUCUAUCAUUGAAAGAUGCAACAAUGGAAGGAUGAACAAAUGGAUACAUUGAGGAUGAGCAAUUACGUGUGAGAAUGAUCAAAUAUAUCCUUACAUAAAUGUUGAAUUGAAUUUUUCACUUUUGUUAGAAGAAAAAAGGUAUAUGUGAGCCACUUUUUUAACGAGAGUCAUAUAAACUUUAUAUCACAAAGUUAAGAAGUAUGUUAGACCCUAUGAGUCAAAACUCAAGAGAGAAAUACACCACCAACUGUUAUUUUUUUCUCCUUUCAAAAGUAAGACUUUUCAAACAACAUGAAGACAAUGAUAAAUUGAAGCGAAUUCAUUACUUUCUCAAUUCAAUAAUUGAAGCAAGAGAAGAAGAGUAAUUUAUUUGGGAUGUAGAAAGGGGGGCCUAGGUGGGGGACUCAAAUAUAAAAGAGCUUAAAAUGAUAGAUUUCUACACAACUCAUUAUAGUGUUAAAAGGGAUCUAUCAUAUUAAAAAUAUGUUUACUUUACAUUCUUGAAAAUUUUCUUUCUUUUAUUUUUAAAAAAAAAGAAAUCAUUCUUGAAAAUAUUAUUGAUGAAUUUUGAAUUGAACAGAACUUUUAAUUAGAUUCCAUGUGGUUACCUUCCUCAAGGACAUUUGAUUAUUUUAUAUUUAAUUAGAUUCCAUGUGGUUAUCUUUUAAAUCAACAUAAUCUCUUUUUAUAAUCACUCAUCAUAUCUUUUCUAUUGAACUUGCUGCAUAAAUGCAUCGAAAGAUUUUAAUAAGUUAAUAUUUGUGUAUUCUACAAAGUAGAACCUCUUUGAUACUUUUAGUUUGUCCAUAAUUUAUCGAAAGUUUAAGAUUACAAAAUUUAAAAAACACAUAUAUAUAUUUAAUUUAAAAUCAUAAAUUUUACUUUUUAUUUCUUAAAUUUUGUGUUCAAAUAAGCUAUAACACUUAAAUUGAUCGAAGUUAGUACAUCAAUUUUGCGAUCACGCACGCUCUCUCUCAAUAUAUAUUGAUUGUUGGGUUAUUGUGAUGUAGUGGAAAAGGGCAUGAGGCCAAGACAACACAAGUUGUGCCAAAAGUAAUUGAUAAAAUUUGAUGGUCACCAAUCAACUUACCUACCCCUCUUAAUUCCACAUCAAAACCUAACAAAAAUUAAAUUGAGAAUUUUUUUCAACUCUUUUUUUUUUUUAAAUAAUAAAAAUUUAGAGCUAAUUUUUUUCAGAUAUGUUGUAUUUUUUUUGUAUCAUUAAAAAAUAAAUAAAUUGGGCAUAUGUACUAAAUUUGACAAGAAAUUUAGUAAAAAUAAAUUUAAUCAUCAAAAUAAUAAAUCCAAAUUAGCCGUUGAAUCAAAGAAGCCAAAAAAAAUUAUAUGUGAGAAGGAUCAAAUAUAUCCCUACAUAAAUGGCUUUUUCAAAAAAAUAAUUUAAAAUUGAUUUUUUUAAAAUUUUCUUUAGAGGAAAAUGAUAUAUGUGAGUCAUUUAUGUAACAAUAGAAGUAUAUGUAAGCCACUCUUUUAAGAAGAGUUAUAUCAGCUUUAAAUCACAAAGUUAAAAAGUAUAUCAGACCCUUUUCUUUAGAAAAAAAUAAAUACAUGUGCUAGUUGUAUUAUAUAAUUUAUUUAAUAUUAUAUUUAUACAUAAUAAACCAUCGUGUUAACGAUACGGAACAUCUCAAAGCUCAAGAGAGAAAUGCACCACCAGACAAGGGCGGAGCCACCUUAUACUAAGGUGGUUUAUCCGAAUCCCCUUCAGCAGAAAAUUAUACUAUUUAUACAUGGUUAAAAUAAUAUUUUUAUGUAUAUAUAGUAGAUGUUGAACCCCCUGCGGCUACUUCGUGUAUCUAUUCUACAGAUUUUGAACCCCUUUAUUGAAAUUCCUGGCUCCGCCGCUGCCACCAGGUGCCAACUUUCAUUUUUUUUCUCCUUUCAUAAGUAAGACUUUCCAAACAACAAGAAGAUAAUGAUAAAUUGAAGCAAAUUCAUUACAUUCUCAACUCAAUAAUUGAAGCAAGAAAGGAAGGGUAAUUUAUUAGGGAUGUAGAAAGGGGAGCCUAGGUGGGGGACUAAAAAAUAAAGAGCUUAAAAUGAUAGAAUUCUACCCGGCUUAUUAUAGUGUGAAAAGGGACCAAAAGUAAUUUAGCUGUGCUAAAACUAAUGUUUGGAUCAUGACACUAGUUAUAACAAUCACAUUUUGUCUGAUGACAUAAAAAAAGAAGCAUUUCCUUAAAUAUUAUAGAAUUUGAGAAUAGAAAGAGCAAACAUUAGUAGUUUUAGUACAACAUAUAUUUUUUGGAGAUAGUAAUAGGUCUUUAAAAUAUUAAGCAAUGUUAAUUUGCUUUUAUUACGGUCAUGAUCUGUAAUUGUUGUGAUCUAGAAUGUCAACUCAUGAUUUACUAUGAUUGGUCAAAAACAUUUUAUCAUUAUAAUAGAACGUGACAAUAAUUUGUUGUAAUUUAGUGUGAGAUUGUUUCACCCUUAACCAGAGGUCUCAGUUUGAGUCCAUACCAAAAUGGGCCCUGUAGAACGCGAUUCGAAUUUAGUCGCCGCUUCAAUGCGAGCUCUACACACCGGGUGGGAGACAAAAAAAAGUGUGUAGAAGGGAAAAAUAAGUUAAAAUAAAUGGCUAAUCCGACAUACUCUGUUGGAUACUUCGAGCUUUUUCCCCUUUUUUGAUAGAUUUCUCUUUCUAAGCCUGGAGGAAUUUUCACUUAAUGUUCUAUUUAUCCAGAGUAAAAAGAAUGUCAUUGUAGCAUCCAAAAGAAUGUCAUUGUAGCAUCCUAGGCAAGAGAGAAGUUGAUUGCUGGUAUAUGAAGAAGCGACCUUAGAGUCAAGUGACGCAUUUUGAAGUCAUGCGAACAUAGAACCUAAAGUCUCAACAAUACAAACUAUUACAUUCAUAGUCCUGACUCUUGAUGUUCAAUCCAACAUCCAUAGACCUUACAAAAAUAUUCCACUUUCCAAAUCAUUGUUGAGCCUUGCUAAUGUUUCAAAACUUCUCUAAAACUUUCAGUUUUUUCUUCAUAUUUCUUACCGCCUUGCCACCUCCACGCCUUCGUGUUAUCACACGGAUAUUAUAUGCUCGGGAACACCAAGACAACAGCAAUCACACUAUGUGUAUACUGGGUAAACUGAGUUGAAGCGUAACCAACCAUGGUCUUGUCCUCAUCCGACCUUUGGGUACAUUAGAGCUGGAUGUUUCAUUUGCAGCAAGUCAUGCUUCAUCUCAAGGAAGGCAUAGUAGACAGCUGUGCGAAUUGGAAAUCACAACCUUCUUACCAAUCCACAUAUUGCAAUUACAGACAAGUCGUUUUAUUUGACUAUUAAAGUGAUUACUGCAAUCUAACUGAGACAACUCCCAAUGUUCACUGUCGAAUAGAGCAAGGCAACUCCCAAUGUUCAAUCUCUUUGUCACUGCUAUCAUGUUUGAUCACUAAAUCUCUGAGACAGGGAAGUUUCUGUAAACGCCACUCCUUUCGGUCGUUGACUAGUUUCUUGCAAUGAAGGAUCUCAAGUUUUUGUAAAUUGAAGGGCAAUCCUCCUUCAGGAAAUGACUCUAUUUCUGGACAAUUUUCCAGAAUUAGUUCCUUAAGAGAUGGAAGGAGUUCCUGCAUCUGUUCUGGCAGCCACUUCAGCUUCGAACAGUCAUCAAUAUGCAAAUACGUUAUCGCAGAUGGAAAUGCCACCGAAAGUUUUUCACAACUCCAAAUAGAGAGAGUUUCAGUGGCAGCAGGAAUUAAGAACCUUGUAAGGUUGGGGCAACUUAUUGCCCACAAAGUGCGUGCUCUUGGGAGCAACUCAGGUGAUAUAGAAUCACAUUCUUCCAAUGUCAAAUCCUCGAGAAACAUGUUGCAAUAACUCAUCUCACCAUCUGGCGACUCCAAUUUCAGUUCCCGGCAAUGAUAUAUCCAUAUUGUCUUCAAGGUACUUGGCAGUAUGCUAAAAGGUAAGGAGGUAAGAGAGUUGCAAUCACCAACAGAUAAAUCAACAAUCUGCUUCAUUCCCUCAAGUUGGGAUGUAAACAGUCCAGCCUCAUAAAAAAGAAGAGAAUCAAAAACACCAAAUAUUUGUAAACUUGAAAGUUGGAUAGGUGUCUCCAAAUUGAGUUCAGGACAUCUUGAAAUACUCAAUUCUGUAAGAGAACAAAGAUUUUCAGGCAACUUCCCCAUUAACUUAGGACAAUUUUCAAUUGAAAGGUUCUCAAGUGUAGAAAAUUCUCCAUUUCCUAGUACGUGCCAUUGCUUCCACUCCGGCAUCCCUUCAAAUUCAAGCUUCUCAAGAGAGUUAAAAGGCUUUUUGGAGUAUGAACUACCAUAAAAUUCUUCCGUCACCUCUGUUAUUCGAUGCAUCCCUCUAAUCGAAAGGAAUUUCAAAGAAGGAAGCUGUCCUAGUGCUGGCAAGGAAUCACAGUCCUUGCAGUUGCUAAGAGACAAUUGUACUAGCUUAAGAAACAAAGGAUCAGCUAGCCAAUUUGGAAAUUUUGUUCCUCUAUAUCCGGUGAUUUGGAGUUGUUUUAUGUUUGUGUGAGGGUGUAGCUCAUCAAGUAUGUCUCUUUCAGUUUGUGAAUUGUCCGCAACACUUUCGCUCCACUCCAAUGAUAACUUCUCAACAUGAUUCUUCUCCCUCAUCUUUGCCUUCACAGCUUCCCUUCUAUCAACCACAUUUUGCAACUCUAAAACUGAUAGAGAUCCAUACAAGUUCUGCACUUCACCCAAAUCUUCCAUUCUCAAACCACCGCGACCACCUAGAAGUAACUUGGCUCCCGCUAGCACUUGGAGGCUUAUCAACUUGCUCAGAUGUAGCGGCAUCUUCAAGCGAGAAGUGUUGCUUAUGUCAAGAUGACAUAAGUUGAUUAGCCUUUCCAUCUGCAGCGGUAACUCCUCAAGACAAUAACAAGAUGACAAGAGAAGUGUCUCCAAGUUAUACAAUGCACAAAUGGAAUCUGGAAACCUUUUAAUCGCUGUUUGAGAAAGGUCCAAAAAUCUCAGGAGCUUUAAUUUGAUAAACAAGUCAUUUGGCAACUCAACAAUCUCAUAGUGUGACAAUGAUAAUUCCCUUAAGGAUGUUAGUCUUGGUAAAAUGUUAUGCAUCACCCUAUUGCUUAGCCUAUUUCAGUGAUAGUUAGUGAUUGGAAGCAAUGUCCUUAACUGCUCUAAUUUUUAGAGGGGUUUCAACUUUUCAAAGUCGCCAUAGCCCAUUAAAUAAGACAUGUGCCGAAUUUGCUCCAACAUACGAGAUCCUUUGUUCUCUUCAAACCUAAUACAAAGUUUUGAAGAUGCAAUUUGGGCUAAAUCAUUGACCAGGUCAUGCAUUAAGAAUCCAUCUGGUUUCCCUUUAAACUUUGGGACCCUUUCGAACAAUGAUCUUGAUAUCAACUCGAGAAAGUAUUGGUUACCGGAAUGCAACUUCGGUAAAAUACCAUUAGCUAUCCACAGGUGAAUAACUUGGUCUUUACAAAAUUGAUAAUCUUUGGGAUAUAUUGCACAAAAAGCAAAACAUCGCUUCAAAUCUGGAUGAAGAUCAUUGUAGCUCAACAUCAAUGCUGGUAAUAUACCAUUAAAACAACUUGGCAGCUCCCAUAUUUCACUUCUUAAAAUGUCUCUCCACUCAUCCACCUCUGAUUUUCUGCGUAAAAUACCAGCAAGUGCCUUUAGAGCUAAAGGCAACCCUCCGCACUUGUCUGCAAAUUUUUUUCCAACCUCUUCCAAUUCUGGAUGUUCCUUAGGAUCCCUAUUUUCUAGUGAAUGUCGUUUGAAUAAAUCCCAAGAGACUUCACUAGAUAGAGUUCCCACGUUGAUUGCUCCACUACCCAUCAUCAAAGCAACACUCUCCUUACGUGUAGUUACAAUGAUCUUACUUCCCAUAUGUCCUUGUACAAAAAGAUUUCUCAAGUCAUCCCACUCAUGAUAGUUAUCAUUCCACACAUCAUCAAGGACAACAAGAAACUUCUUACCUUUCAGGCUUCCCUUCAAUUUGACUUGUAGCUGAUUAAGAUUGUCGUCAUCCUUUAAGUCAAAUGAGCCAACUUCUUGAAGUAACCCUUUUGUUAUUCUGAAAGCAUCAUAUGCCUCAGAAACACAAAACCAAGCUUUCAAACCAAAAUGGUGCUUCACCUUGUCAUUAUUGUAAACCACUUUAGCAAGUGUUGUCUUACCCACGCCGCCCAUUCCAACAAUAGGAACUACAGUCAGUUUUUUCCCACAUGCAUCUUCAGACAUUAAACGGUCAAUCAAAUCCUCUAUUUCGCUCUGCCUACCAAAGAUAUCAGAAUCAUCAACCAAAGAAGUUGAAGGUGUUCUAGUUUCUUGUUUAAUCGAACCAAAAUACUCCUUUAAGCCAAGGCGACCAAUUUGUUUUUCCAACACCUCCAAUGUUUCAAUGGUUUCUUCCAACUUGUCCUUUAUGUUAAGAAAGAAAUCAUCACUUACUUGCUGGUUGCUUGUUUCUGCAAGAUUUUGAUGCUGACCUUCAACCUUAAGUCUCAAAGCCUCAUAAUUGACAUCUUCCAUUAAGUUUUCAGCAGAGUCGACAGCAUGUCGAAACUCAUUAAGCCACUGGCUCACAAAUUGAUUUGAUGUCUGCUUAUUCUCUGCAUCACUUAGCACAACUUGAAGACCAAGCAAAGUCAUUCUCAGCUUCUUUAAGAGACGAACAUCAUUCUUAUGCUUCUGAAACAUCUUGAGCAGCUCACCCUGAGGUGCAAGCCUAUCAAAG